CGGCGUCACGAGUGGCAAUCACGUUUAUUGGGUCUAAAGAGUUCGUAGCCGGUUUAGAAAAUCUUUUGUGAAAUUGUCAGGCUUAACUUGACAACGUGCAGAAGACACUACUAAACUAGAGACCGGGAGGGGUCAGAAGUAUUUCAGGGGGAGCGGUAAAAUGUUAUAAUCCCUGAAGGACUACCAAUGGCGAAGGCAUCUGACCAGAACGGAUCUGACGGUGAGGAACGAAGGCUAGGGGAGCGAACCGGAUUAGAUACCCGAGUAGUCC
rnacentral:rRNA from 1 species